UACAGAGGUCUCAAGCGUUGUUCGGAUUCAUUGGGCGUAAAGGGUGCGUAGGCGGUGGGGCAAGUCAGGUGUGAAAUCCCGGAGCUCAACUCCGGAACUGCACUUGAUACUGCCUUGCUAGAGUACUGGAGAGGAGACUGGAAUUUACGGUGUAGCAGUGAAAUGCGUAGAUAUCGUAAGGAAGACCAGUGGCGAAGGCGGGUCUCUGGACAGUUCCUGACGCUGAGGCACGAAGGUCAGGGGAGCAAACGGG
rnacentral:rRNA from 1 species